CAGCCGCCACGGGAAUACGUAGGGCGCAAGCGUUGUCCGGAAUUAUUGGGCGUAAAGAGCUCGUAGGCGGUCUGUCGCGUCUGGUGUGAAAUCCCGAGGCUCAACCUCGGGCUUGCAUCGGGUACGGGCAGACUAGAGUGCGGUAGGGGAGACUGGAAUUCCUGGUGUAGCGGUGGAAUGCGCAGAUAUCAGGAGGAACACCGAUGGCGAAGGCAGGUCUCUGGGCCGCAACUGACGCUGAGGAGCGAAAGCAUGGGGAGCGAACAGGAUUAGAUACCCCAGUAGUCCCUGUCUCUUAUAU
rnacentral:rRNA from 1 species